rnacentral:lncRNA from 8 species
AUGAUUCAUGCUUUAAACCAUUCCAUCCUCUCUACUUCCAAUGUAGAGGAUAUUUCAUCAUUUAAUGUUCUCUUUCCUCAGAUAAACAAUACCGACAGUCUAAUAAACCUGGGCUCUUUAGUGGGAGGUCUUCCUACCCAAACACUCACCGCAAUACCCGCGCAGCAGGUUCUAACAACAUCCGCCAACCCAAAAUGUGUUACCAACAUGCUGACUGCUCCAACAAUUGUGAAACAGAUCUAUGUUAAUAAGAUCAUCACAGUUGACAUGAAACCAACAGAACUAAUAGUCAAUGUCCCACAUGAAAUGGCAACCGAAAUUCCCAGAAAUCUACUGAAUUUCCCAACAACUGGAAAUCAAACACUCACUGCUCUGAACAUCAACAAGAAAAAUGGAAACCUCAGCAGGCUGUGCUGUUCUUUGAUACAGUAGCAAAUGGAUUGGAUGAGCCUGAUGACCUUUCUGAGUACGUGCUUCAAGGAUUCACUUGCUCUCGUGUCCAGACUUUCACCAAAACAAAAAUUAAACCUCUCAUCAGAGCUUGAAGAUGUAGGGCCGGUCGAAGAAAGGUGGUUCUCAAGGAGACACAGGUGAAUAUUAAAAAUACAACUUUUUGUACAUAAACUAAAGGGCCCUACUCAAUCAAAACCGUUAGCCAGGCCUCCAGAUUACAUUGUUAAUGUGCCUGUAUGUUUUAUUGUAUUUUUUAUGGCUACAUGAAUCCAAGCAUGUAUUCUCUCAGCACAAGAAUGACAAUAGUUACUGGAAACCCAGUAACUGAAUAUAUAUUGAAUAUGUUUCUCUGUUUUCAAGGAGCUUAUUUUACAGACAUGAGAA